CCACUGUAGCCCCAGAUGUAUUUCUGAAUGUUCCUUAGUGAUAUUCUUAAUGAUUUGAUUAAUUAAUUAUAAAUUUAUUCACGAUUUCAGUUCAUAUUAAACGUUUUUGGAUUAACCAAAAUGUACUUAAAUUUAUAAGAACCGUCAUCCGGGCUUAUAUUGGAGCACUUUUGUUGUGUAAAUUUUGGACACUGAUUUCAGCAACAAUUCUUGAGUUUGCUUUUAGUUUUCUUUCUGUUUUGUUUCUGACGAUCGCUUUCGAGAAAUUUUGUAUUUCAUGUUUUAAAAUUCGGAGUGUUUUGAAUGAACGGUAUGCUAAGCUGAUAUUAAGAUUAUCUGUUAAGCAUCACUAGCAGCCAUGGAAUGUUGAACGCACUUUGAAAAUGUGGUUGGUGCAGUUGCCUUACUUAUUGAACAUAAGCUGUGGAUGGAAAAAGGUUUGUUUUUGCUCAUAACUUUUGCCCUUCUUAUCCGGUGGGGUCCGCAGUGUAGAGACACGGCUCCCAGUAAAACACAGAAGUCCAGCAUUACUGUCAGCGGUCAGUGAGCUGGAGGGUGACCUCCUUGAUCAGCCUGCAUAGGGACCUAGGGUACGCGG